GUGCUUGCUUCAGCAGCACAUAUACUAAAAUUGGAAUGAUAUAGACAAAAUAAGCAUGGCCCCUGCGCAGGGAUGACAUACAAAUGUGUGAAGCAUUCCAUAUUUUU
ensembl:snRNA U6 U6 spliceosomal RNA